rnacentral:rRNA from 1 species
UGCCCAACUCUAGCCCAACCCUCCACAAACCAAAUGCACUUAAAAAUCUACUCAGACUUCAAACCAAAUCAUUUUCCAAACUUAGUAUAGGUGAUAGAAAAGACCAUAAGGCGCGAUAGAGAUUCGUACCGUAAGGGAAAGAUGAAAUAGCAAUGAACUAGCCAAGCAACAGACAGCAAAGAUAAACCCUUGUACCUCUUGCAUCAUGAUUUAGUAAGAACAACCAAGCAAAGCGAACUUAAGCUUGCCAUCCCGAAACCCAAGCGAGCUACUUACGAGCAGCUACCCUGAGCGAACCCGUCUCUGUUGCAAAAGAGUGGGAUGACUUGUUAGUAGAGGUGAAAAGCCAAUCGAGCUGGGUGAUAGCUGGUUACCUGUGAAAUGAAUCCAAGUUCUACCUUGACUCCUCCUCCAAGAACCUUCAACCACUCCAAUGAAGACAGUCAAGAGUAAUUUAAAGGGGGUACAGCUCCUUUAAAAAAGAAUACAAUCUUACCUAGCGGAUAACCCAUAACCUUAGAAAUAAAACUGUGGGCCUUCAAGCAGCCACCAACAAAGAGUGCGUCAAAGCUCCAUUCCCCUAAAAACCCUAAAGCUAUGCGAAUCCCUUUCCACUAACAGGUUAACCUAUAGCAAUAGGAGAAUUAAUACUAAAAUGAGUAACUAGGGUGCUACCCUCUUAAGCGCAAACUUACAUUUNUCCCAUUAUUAACAGAUAACUAAUACAUCCACUCCAACAAGACUACAUAUUACACCUUCUGUUAAUCCAACCCAGGAGCGCAUGUUAGAAAGAUUAAAAUCUGUAAAAGGAACUAGGCAACCCCAAGGCCCGACUGUUUACCAAAAACAUAGCCUUCAGCCAAACCAAGUAUUGAAGGUGAUGCCUGCCCAGUGACUCAAUGUUCAACGGCCGCGGUAUCCUAACCGUGCGAAGGUAGCGCAAUCAAUUGUCCCAUAAAUCGAGACUUGUAUGAAUGGCUAAACGAGGUCUUAACUGUCUCUUACAGAUAAUCAGUGAAAUUGAUCUCCCUGUGCAAAAGCAGGAAUAAACCCAUAAGACGAGAAGACCCUGUGGAACUUAAAAAACAGCAGCCACCCCACAACAAAAUUCAAACCUAUCAGGCCCACCACUACAACAAAGCACUGGCUUGCAUUUUUUCGGUUGGGGCGACCUUGGAGAAAAACAAAUCCUCCAAAAAUAAGACCACUUUCUCUUGACCAAGAGCAACCCCUCAACGUACUAAUAGUAACCAGACCCAAUAUACUUGACUAAUGGACCAAGCUACCCCAGGGAUAACAGCGCAAUCCCCUUCAAGAGCCCAUAUCGACAAGGGGGUUUACGACCUCGAUGUUGGAUCAGGACAUCCUAAUGGUGCAGCCGCUAUUAAGGGUUCGUUUGUUCAACGAUUAACAGUCCUACGUGAUCUGAGUUCAGACCGGAGCAAUCCAGGUCGGUUUCUAUCUAUGACCAACUUUUCCCAGUACGAAAGGACCGAAAAAGUGAGGCCAAUGCUUCAAUGUACGCCUCCUCUCUAAGUAAUGACUUCAACUAAAUUACCAAAAGACUCCCCAUAACCAACCAAUCCUAGAAAAGGAUA